rnacentral:rRNA from 1 species
UUGACCUCAAAUCAGGCGGGACUACCCGCUGAACUUAAGCAUAUCAAUAAGCGGAGGAAAAGAAACUAACAAGGAUUCCCCUAGUAACUGCGAGUGAAGCGGGAAGAGCUCAAAUUUAAAAUCUGGCGUCUUCGGCGUCCGAGUUGUAAUUUAGAGAAGCGUUUUCCGCGCUGGACCGUGUACAAGUCUCCUGGAACGGAGCGUCAUAGAGGGUGAGAAUCCCGUCUUUGACACGGACCCCCAGUGCUCUGUGAUACGCUCUCGAAGAGUCGAGUUGUUUGGGAAUGCAGCUCAAAAUGGGUGGUGAACUCCAUCUAAAGCUAAAUAUUGGCGAGAGACCGAUAGCGAACAAGUACCGUGAGGGAAAGAUGAAAAGCACUUUGGAAAGAGAGUGAAACAGUACGUGAAAUUGUUGAAAGGGAAACGCUUGAAGUCAGUCGCGUUUGCCGAGACUCAGCCUUCGGGUGUACUUCUCGGUGGACGGGCCAGCAUCACUUUCGAUCAUCGGAAAAGGGCGAGGGGAAUGUGGCACCUCCGGGUGUGUUAUAGCCUCUUGUCGUAUACGGUGACCGGGAGUGAGGACCGCCUUUGUAGGAUGCUGGCGUAAUGGCUUUAAACGACCCGUCUUGAAACACGGACCAAGGAGUCUAACAUGCCCGCGAGUGUUUGGGUGGAAAACCCAUGCGCGUAAUGAAAGUGAAAGUUGGGAAGGCUGUCGUGGCCUGCACCGACGCCCGGACUUGAGAUUUAUCGAAGGUUCUGCGGUAGAGCGUGUAUGUUGGGACCCGAAAGAUGGUGAACUAUGCCUGAAUAGGGUGAAGCCAGAGGAAACUCUGGUGGAGGCUCGUAGCGA